rnacentral:lncRNA from 1 species
GAAAAAAUGCUUAAAAGCUUAUAGUAAGCACAGAUCUAAGGUAUAUUUUACAUCAAUCAAAAGAUCUUAGAGAUUAGGAUUUCAGAAACACCAAAUAGAUCUCGAAAGUUAACGAUCUAGCUAUAAAAGGUCAAGGACCCGCCUCGAAAGGCCAUAAAUGGCCGGAAAAGGUCGUGGCUAGCCGGAGAAAGGCCAUGAACACUAGUAGAGCAAGGACAAGCCA